AUUGAACGCUGGCGGCAUGCCUUACACAUGCAAGUCGAACGGCAGCACGGGAGCAAUCCUGGUGGCGAGUGGCGAACGGGUGAGUAAAGUAUCGGAACGUGCCCAGUCGUGGGGGAUAACGUAGCGAAAGUUACGCUAAUACCGCAUACGAUCUACGGAUGAAAGCGGGGGAUCGCAAGACCUCGCGCGAUUGGAGCGGCUGAUAUCAGAUUAGGUAGUUGGUGGGGUAAAGGCUCACCAAGCCGACGAUCUGUAGCUGGUCUGAGAGGACGACCAGCCACACUGGGACUGGGACACGGCCCAGACUCCUACGGGAGGAAGCAGUGGGGAAUUUUGGACAAUGGGCGAAAGCCUGAUCCAGCCAUGCCGCGUGCAGGAUGAAGGCCUUCGGGUUGUAAACUGCUUUUGUACGGAACGAAAAGGUUUGGCCUAAUAAGCUGGACCCAUGACGGUACCGUAAGAAUAAGCACCGGCUAACUACGUGCCAGCAGCCGCCGUAA
rnacentral:rRNA from 1 species